GACAUUGAAUGGGAAGGAAGGAAGGAAGGAAGAGAGAUACGCUCAAAUCGCACAGAUGAACCCACAACAGCAGGAGAUGCAAAGGGUUGGACGUUUUCAACUUUGAACCGUGAACCCGAGCAGCCCACAGGCGUUUACUGGAGCUGACCUUAUUAGGAGGUACUCAGCUAGACGCGCUGGAAGAAUGUUGGAAAUCAACCAAGACAGCGCAUUUAAAGGGUAGAGAAGGACCGGCAGGACGCCGGGUUGCUUGUGGGAAAAUAGAAAAGCCAUCAACAACGCCCUCGGUGCUGCUGCUGCCGCGAGCGAAUCACUCGCGACGUUCGCACUAUCGAGUCUGUCGAGUCUCCAGUGAUGGUCGAACGGGAGGCGACGGAGGCUGGAGGGAACCUAAAGGUUGUUCCGAGGAGCAAUGAAGGAGCAGAGCGGGAGAGUAGGGACAAAGGCAGUAAGAGAUAAAGCGGUUAUCAGUCAGUCGUGUACGCUUGGCAAUCUUCCAAAACAGCCACGUAGACGUGCGUCGAGAUACGAAGCUAACCGCGGUGACCUUAUGCCAAAAGGAUCUUGUGCGCCCAUCCUCUUCUGAUCAUUUGGAGAUCUAAGCGUAGAGAAGUGAGCUUUCUAAACUCGCACGACCACCGAGCGAUUAUUAGUAGAGGACACGCUAAACUAAUAUAUACGAGUGAUGCGCUGAGCUACCCAUCAACAACAGCGAGAGGACAAUGUGCCGCCACUUAUGCUGUCAUACAACUAUGGCAUAUCCAUCGCAGCAGUCGCACUUCCUGAGCAUUAGACCUAUUAUAAUAAACAGUCUAAUGACGCACAGGACCGUACCAGGAUAUCCAUCAAAAAUCAUUAUGAACAGUUUAGUCGGUAACAAGUGAAUAUGUAAUAGUUUACGCAUUUUUAGCCAUGAACACGUUACUGACAAACAAAUAGAUAACAAUAUAAACUUAUUAAA